rnacentral:rRNA from 1 species
AUUGAACGCUGGCGGCAGGCCUAACACAUGCAAGUCGAACGAGUGGCGGACGGGUGAGUAAUGUCUGGGAAACUGCCUGAUGGAGGGGGAUAACUACUGGAAACGGUGGCUAAUACCGCAUACCAUCGGAUGUGCCCAGAUGGGAUUAGCUAGUAGGUGGGGUAACGGCUCACCUAGGCGACGAUCCCUAGCUGGUCUGAGAGGAUGACCAGGCACACUGGAACUGAGACACGGUCCAGACGCCUACGGGAGGCAGCAGUGGGGAAUAUUGCACAAUGGGCGCAAGCCUGAUGCAGCCAUGCCGCGUGUAUGAAGAAGGCCGUCGGGUUGUAAAGUACUUUCCGCGGGGAGGCGGUAUCCGCAGAAGAAGCACCGGCUAACGACGUGCCAGCAGCCGCGGUAAUAC